GUGGAUUAGAUACCCUGGUAGUCCACGCCCUAAACGAUGUCGACUGGGUGUUGGGGAAGCGAUUUCCCAGUACCGUAGCUAACGCGUGAAGUCGACCGCCUGGGGAGUACGGCCGCAAGGUUAAAACUCAAAGGAAUUGACGGGGACCCGCACAAGCGGUGGAUGAUGUGGAUUAAUUCGAUGCAACGCGAACAACCUUACCUACCCUUGACAUGUCCGGAAGCCCGGUGAGAGCUGGGGGUGCCCGAAAGGGAACCGGAACACAGGUGCUGCAUGGCCGUCGACAACU
rnacentral:rRNA from 1 species